rnacentral:lncRNA from 1 species
ACUGGGAGUCCUAUUUCGAUCCAAUCAAAAUCAAAUCAAAUCAGAUUUGAUCUCAAUCAAAAAUAGACAUAAGAGAGAUGGUGUAGAGAUACUUGGGUUGAUCCAACCACAUGCCAAAUCAGAUUUGACAUUGGGCUUAGGUAGUGCAAAAAGAGAGGUGGCACCAGGGAGAAAUCCUAAUCUAAUUAGGAUUCAUUUGUUUGCUAAUU